UACGUAGGUGGCAAGCGUUGUCCGGAAUUAUUGGGCGUAAAGCGCGCGCAGGCGGUUCUUUAAGUCUGAUGUGAAAGCCCACGGCUCAACCGUGGAACGGCUGGGUAUACUGCCUGUCUUGAGCCAACUAGGGGCGAGCGGAACAGACGGUGGAGCGGUGAAAUGGCGUAGAUAUCGUCUGGAACGCCAAAGGUGAAAACAGCUCGCUGGGGUUGUGCUGACGCUGAGACACGAAAGCCAGGGGAGCGAACGGG
rnacentral:rRNA from 1 species